rnacentral:SRP_RNA from 1 species
UGGUAUGCUAGCCUGGGGCGUUAGCCCUGCCCUGUCAGCGUCAACGGGCUUUAUGGCGCAGGCGAAGCUGGGGAGGCGGCUUGUCGCGUGUGGCAGGGUCCUUGCGCGGCUGUCGAUACUCUGUCCUCAUUGGCUGGGGCUUUGUCGAAUCGAGUCAGGCCUUGAUCGGAGCAGCUCUAAGUCAGGUUCCUGGUGCUAUGGGGGUGGCGGAGAGGAGGUCGCACAGGGGCUACGCCCUGGUGCGCGUGUAGAGGUCCACUUCCCGGCGUGCAUGCCA